UACGUAGGUGACCAGCGUUGUCCGGAUUUACUGGGCGUAAAGAGCGCGCAGGCGGUCGUUCAAGUCGAGUGUGAAAGCCCCCGGCUCAACUGGGGAGGGUCACUCGAUACUGAUCGACUUGAAGGCAGGAGAGGGAAGCGGAAUUCCCGGUGUAGAGGUGAAAUUCGUAGAUAUCGGGAGGAACACCAGUGGUGAAGGCGGCGAUCUGGGUCGAUACUGACGCUGAGGUGCGAAAGCGUGGGGAGCAAACAGG
rnacentral:rRNA from 1 species